CCAAUAGCGUAUAUUAAAGUUGCUGCAGUUAAAAAGCUCGUAGUUGAAUUUCGGGACUAAUAUGUCGGUCGUGCCUCGGUACGUACUGGUAUUUUUGGUUUCUCCCUUCUGACGAACCUUGAUGUCAUUAAUUUGGUGUCUUGGGAAAUCAGGACUGUUACUUUGAAAAAAUUAGAGUGUUUAAAGCAGGCUCACGCUUGAAUACAUUAGCAUGGAAUAAUGAAAUAGGACGUUUGAUUCUAUUUUGUUGGUUUCUAGGAUCGACGUAAUGAUUAAUAGGGAUAGUUGGGGGCAUUAGUAUUCAAUUGUCAGAGGUGAAAUUCUUGGAUUUAUUGAAGACUAACUACUGCGAAAGCAUUUGCCAAGGAUGUUUUCAUUAAUCAAGAACGAAAGUUAGGGGAUCGAAGACGAUCAGAUACCGUCGUAGUCUUAACCAUAAACUAUGCCGACUAGGGAUCGGAUGAUGUUAUUUUUAAUGACUCAUUCGGCGCCUUACG
rnacentral:misc_RNA from 1 species